UCCGGGCCCCGCCGGUUUCAUAGACCUCGCGUUGCAGGGGGAGCCGGCGGGGGAGCGGGGCGGAGAGGUCGGGCCGGGUCGGGUCGGAGAGAGAGAAGGCUCGCUACGACGCGGAGGUCCAGGUGGAGGAGUCGAGAGACUGGGGGCUAGCGGCGGCUCGCGGAGGCGGUGACGGCCAGGUCCCCUGUUCAGUCCCGUUCAGAGGAAGGAAAAAAAGAGGAGGCGGUGGCGGUGCUGGGCUCCAACAUGUCCGUUUGGUGGUGGUGGUGGUGGUGGUGGCGGUGGUGGUGGUGGUGGCGGCGGCGGCGGCGGCGGCGGUGGUGGCGGCGGCUGCGCUUGGCGUCUCGUUGACACGGCCCCCCGCGCACACAUACAUACAAUCACUCACUCAUUCACUUACACGCACGCACAUACACCUACACUCGGGGUCAGGAAGCCGGCAGGCAGGCGGGCGGGCAGGCCAGCUAAGGUACGGGCCUUCUCCUCCUCCUCCGCUCUCUAUCACUCUCUUAGCCUGCGGGAUGGCGGCAGCGGCCGACUCCACGCCGCGCGGGGCACCCUGGGAUGGCUCAGACCUCCCAGCCGCUUCCUGUUUCUCGGCGGCGUGUACCUCUCCUCCCGCCACUCUUCCCCUCCCCCUCCUCAGUUCCCUUCCGAGAUACUUUUCCCCGCCCACUUCCUCUCGAGCUGGAGAACGGAGCUCUGCUAUUGCUGUGUGUGGCGGAGGCAGCGGAGGUAGAAGUGCCGGGCGGCGAGAGCGGUAGCACGUGAUGACCGAAAGCCCGAGAACCGAGCCGCUUCCGGCCGGCUCCGGGGUGCACGAGCCUGUUGUUGGAUUUGCUCGCCCCAGAAGACCUUCCUGGUGCCAGCCAGACCAUCGUAUUCUUUUCCCGCCUCAGCCGCCACCACCGCCAUCUUCUCCUACCGACCCUCCAGCCUCUUAUUUGAUGUUUUUGAAGCUCUACAGCGUCGUUGUCUGCUGUCUCCUUUCCUGCAACCUGAUCAGUCGGGUUGUUGGUCUUCGGUACAGGACGACAACCAACACGGUAUCCGUGUGUUGGGGUUCCCGCACAGCGUAUCCGACUCCCAUGAGCUCUAGACGGUUCCACCACAGGCGAGACACACGUGACAGAGAAGCGCCGGACCCUCUCCUUGGGAGUCUCUGA
rnacentral:lncRNA from 1 species